UUCGGUAUGCUGUGGGAGUACACAGUGACGACCUUCAUGUACUGUUUCCGUAAUGAUGCAUCUGAGACAACAUUAAAGAGCUCCGUCUCUGUCGUAGGGUACGCAACUGAAGCAACAUCACAAGUGCUUCUGUCGGAGAAGCUACCUAAUGCGUUUGAAACGAUGCAGGUUGUGUUGCCGGAGGAGCAUGUGACCAUUGGUCCGGGAGGAGAGGCAUGGACAAGAUUCGCUACAAACGCUAAGAAUAAUACAACAAGUGUUACUGCCGUU
rnacentral:lncRNA from 1 species